CUCCAUGUUUUCGUAACACAACGUUUCAUCUGCGAAUCUUUAACACUCUUCCCUUCGUCAAUGGCGAAUUCAAACUCGCACCCACUAAAACUCCAUUUUCACGUAGAAACAACCAGUCUCAAUCGAAGAUGCAAUCUCACUCCCAGGAUCCGGCCACUUCAGAGUCUAGGUCACGGUUCGAAGCCUACAACCGUUUGCUUUCACUUUCGGGGAGAAACUUCCGAUACCAGAGAUUGUAGCCAUCGGUGGUCAAUCAGAUGGCAAAAGCUCUCUUCUCGAAGCGCUCCUAGGGUUCCGAUUCAACGUUCGCGAGGUCGAACUGGAAACUCGCCGUCCUCUGAAAUAGAUGAGAUUUUGAUUUUACAGGCGAAGAAAGGAGAGCCUGAAACGACACCGGAUAAAAUUCUAUCGAUGAUCAAGUCACUGGGCUUCUCCUCCACAUCGCAUUCUCUUGUUCCUUCAGCAGAGCAGUGUGGUGUGGUGUGGAGCGGUGAGUGGAUUCAGUUCGUGAGAUUGAUUCAAGCUUCCGGAGGACAAUUGUUGUUGUCUCCAAGUUAUGAUAAUCGUCUUAAGGUACCAAAAAUGUUUGAACACACAAUCGCUUGAACAGAGCGCUGCUCUGAGGUAACUGAUGAUAUGCUGAGAAUGGAUAUGAAGAUUCAAUCUACUUCUGUUGUUGCUCAUCUUAGAAAAGCAGCAAUGUUACAUAUACAGCUUCUAUUUGCAAUCAUAUGGGAGCUUUGAUUGAUGGAGCUGAAAAUCCAGCAGCUGAGCAGUUGGGAAAAACAACUUCUCAAGACCUUCUUCAAUCAGAGCCUACAUCACUUCAGUUCCGAGUACCUGGCUCAAUCCCGAAGACAGAUCUUGUCCAUCGGAGAGCUCCGCCUUGCAUCGUCUACCCCUGAUAUAGGGUGUUUUGACAAUGGUGCAAGUUCAACCAGUCUCUAACUUCUAGCCUACAGUGCUAAGAGCUUCGCUUAAAAUAAUUUCAUUACUCUUUUGUUUCGGUUCCUUGCUAAUUACCGACGACGAACCUCCCGGUGAGAGAGUUUUUGGUUUUUGCAGUCGACGGUUAAUAUCACCACUGCUUCGUUAAAGGAGAGUCAAAUCUGAUAUUGGGAUUUCCUAAAGGUGUGUGUUGUUAAGGAAUGAAGACUGGGAAUUUCAACGUUUUGACCCUCCCUCAUGACUUGCAUCACUGCCUCGUCUUCACUUUUGAUUGAAACCAAAGUUUCCUCGUAGUUAUUUCACAAGGCCUAACGACAGUUUUGUUGAGCUUUGCCAUUAGUUCUUAUAACAUGAUAAGUAUAUUUUGGUGUUUAAGAAUUGAAGCAGCUUGUACUAAGUCGGAUUCACCUUCAAUUACGUUUGUUUUGACGGCGGCAUCCCAAAGCUUCGGGGGAACAAGAAACGGGUGCAACUUUGGGCUUGUGUGUUCCUAUUGGGCCCAAUAUCUCCUGCUCUUUUUACCGCUGGAAUUACCAGUUUUGUGGGAACUGAUAAACCACAACAAUCCUUAGUUAAUCUCUGUUUUUUCACAAAGGCCAAGUGCUAAGUUUCUGUAAAGGAAGAAGACAAAAAGAGAUACAAGAAAGUCAAGGAGCUACUGUAAAAGUUACGGUAGCAGCAAAAGGUUUACAUUUCGGUGAUAACGAGCAUAAGGGUUGUGUCCAUAGCAACAAGCAGUUUGUUAUGGCUCAUCAAAUUAGUUUUUUUUAACUAGUGUUCUAUGUGUCCAGUAUACAUAUAAAUCUCUAAAAAUCAAUAAUUUUAUAA